rnacentral:rRNA from 1 species
AAUAGAUACCCGGGUAGUCCACGCCGUAAACGUUGGGCGCUAGAUGUGGGGGCCAUUCCACGGUUUCCGCGUCGUAGCUAACGCAUUAAGCGCCCCGCCUGGGGAGUACGGCCGCAAGGCUAAAACUCAAAGGAAUUGACGGGGGCCCGCACAAGCGGCGGAGCAUGCGGAUUAAUUCGAUGCAACGCGAAGAACCUUACUAAGGCUUGACAUAUACGAGAACACUACAGAAAUGUAGGACUCUUUGGACACUCGUAUACAGGUGGUGCAUGGUUGUCGUCAGCUCGUGUCGUGAGAUGUUGGGUUAAGUCCCGCAACGAGCGCAACCCUCGUCGCAUGUUGCCAGCACGUAAAGGUGGGAACUCAUGUGAGACUGCCGGGGUCAACUCGGAGGAAGGUGGGGAUGACGUCAAAUCAUCAUGCCCCUUAUGUCUUGGGCUUCACGCACGCUACAAUGGCCGGUACAAAGGGCUGCAAUCCGUAAGGUGAGCGAAUCCCAAAAAGCCGGUCUCAGUUCGGAUUGAGGUCUGC